GCCGGCCUCACCGGUAUGGGCCGCAACAAGAAGAAGAGGAAAGAUGGUGACGACCGGCGGCCCAGGCUGUUCUCAGCUUCGACGAGGAGAAGAGGCGGGAGUACCUGACUGGCUUCCACAAGCGGAAGGUCGAGCGGAAGAAGGCAGCCAUUGAGGAGAUUAAGCAGCGGCUAAAAGAGGAGCAGAGGAAGCUUCGGGAGGAGCGCCACCAGGAAUACUUGAAGAUGCUGGCAGAGAGAGAAGAGGCGCUGGAGGAGGCAGAUGAGCUGGACCAGUUGGUGACAGCAAAGACGGAGUCGGUGCAGUAUGACCACCCCAACCACACAGUCACCGUGACCACCAUCAGUGACCUGGACCUCUCAGGGGCCCGGCUGCUCGGGCUGACCCCACCUGAGGGAGGGUCUGGAGACGGGUCUGAGGAGGCGGCCUCAUCCAUGGAGAAGCCAACCAAAGCCUUGCCCAGGAAGUCCAGAGACCCCCUGCUCUCUCAGCGGAUCUCCUCUCUCACAGCCUCACUGCAUGCACACAGCCGCAAAAAGGUCAAGAGGAAACAUCCCCAACGGACCCAGGACUCCAAGAAGCCCCCAAGGGCCACUCGUACCAGCAAGGACGGCGUACCAGCGCCGCCGUCUGACAGGCAAAGCGCGGCACAGCGGGGAGUGAGACCAAGAACCAAGCGGUGGCCCAGCCUAGGCUGCGAGGACCUGUCCUUUCUCAGCUUGGCUGUCCCUGUAGCCCAGCCUGCACCUAGGUAAUGACUGCACAGCUCAAGGUUGGGAAGCCAGGACCUAUCUGGCCUGGGGCCAGCUGCCUUUGCCUGGCGUUUGAAUUCCAGAAGGAGCAGGCAGCAGAGAACAGGCCUCCCCCAGGAAGAGCCUUCAGAGCCGUGCUGGGGCAUCUUCCCAAAUGUGCACCCCACCUGGCACUCAUCAGAUUUCUGGAACUCAGAGAUUUGUGUGCUUGUGAUUUGUUUGUCCGUGAUGCCACGCACACGGCAGGUUUCUGCAGUGGUGGAAAUGGUCGGGGCCCAUGGGUCUGUCUCCAGCAGUUUGCCCUGUGGCUACAAUAAAGUACAGUUCUCCCUGAAAAAAAAAAAAAAAAAGAAA